rnacentral:tRNA from 1 species
GGUCGGGUGGUGUAGUGGUUAUCACGUUUCGUUUACAUUCUGAACCGAAAAGGCCGCGAGUUCAAUCCUCGCCCUGAUCA